rnacentral:tRNA from 1 species
GCCCACGUGGCUCAACGGCAGAGCACGGCAUUCGUAAUGCCGGGGUUGGGGGUUCAAAUCCCCCCGUGGGCU